rnacentral:rRNA from 1 species
CCUACGGGCGGCAGCAGUGGGGAAUAUUGCACAAUGGGGGAAACCCUGAUGCAGCGACGCAGCGUGAGGGAAGAAGGAUUUAGGUAUGUAAAGCUCUAUCAGCAGGGAAGAAAAAAGACGGUACCGGGCUAAGAAGCACCGGCUAACUACGUGCCAGCAGGCGAGGUAAUACGUAGGGGGCAAGCGUUAUCCGGAUUUACGGGGUUUAAAGGGAGCGUAGACGGUAUGUCAAGUCUGAAGUGAAAGCCCAGGGCUUAACCCUGAGAUUGCGUUGGAAACUGUUAGACUAGAGUGCUGGAGAGGUAAGUGGAAUUCCUAGUGUAGCGGUGAAAUGCUUAGAUAUUAGGAGGAACACCAGUGGCGAAGGCGGCUUACUGGACAGUAACUGACGUUGAGGCUCGAAAGCGUGGGUAUCAAACAGGAUUAGAUACCCCAGUAGUC